rnacentral:rRNA from 1 species
GUCUACGACCAUAUCACGUUGAAAACACCGUCUCGUCCGAUCACCGAAGUUAAGCAACGUCGAGCCCGGUAGUAUUGGAUGGGUGACCGCCUGGGAAUACCGUGUUGUAGACA